rnacentral:rRNA from 1 species
ACUCCGUACGGGAGGCAGCAGUGGGGAAUAUUGGACAAUGGGCGAAAGCCUGAUCCAGCCAUGCCGCGUGUGUGAAGAAGGUCUUCGGAUUGUAAAGCACUUUAAGUUGGGAGGAAGGGCAGUAAGUUAAUACCUUGCUGUUUUGACGUUACCAACAGAAUAAGCACCGGCUAACUUCGUGCCAGCAGCCGCGGUAAUACGAAGGGUGCAAGCGUUAAUCGGAAUUACUGGGCGUAAAGCGCGCGUAGGUGGUUCAGCAAGUUGGAUGUGAAAUCCCCGGGGCUCAACCUGGGAACUGCAUCCAAAACUACUGAGCUAGAGUACGGUAGAGGGUGGUGGAAUUUCCUGUGUAGCGGUGAAAUGCGUAGAUAUAGGAAGGAACACCAGUGGCGAAGGCGACCACCUGGACUGAUACUGACACUGAGGUGCGAAAGCGUGGGGAGCAAACAGGAAUUAGAUACCCUGGUAGGAUAGCG